GUCUAUUCUGGAGAGCAAGCAGACAGGGCCCUGGAGGGUCCCUGAGGGAUCUGCUGCCUGCUGCUGCCUGGCACCCAGUAUGCAGUCUCCAGAAAGGUGAACUGGAGUCUCAGGGUCCUCCUGAGGGGGAGGUCGAAUGAAAAACACAUGCAUUCCUGUUCUCACAAAACAUCUUGGGCAUCUGUUUUCAGAGCAAAAUAACCAGAAAAUAACCAUCCCCUAGACUUGGCUACCUGUGGUAAGCUGGCUUUUUGGCACACCCAGUGGAUACAGUGUUUCAAUGAAAUGACUUGCUGUAGGUGUGAGUAGCACAGCUCCCUGGCAGGCCAAUGUUUCAGUGUCAGCAAGAAUUGGGGAGAGUGGCUGGAGAGAUGGCUCAGCGGUUGGUGAAGAGCACUUCCAGAGGACCAGGGUUCAGUUCCCAGCAACCACAUGGCAGAUAGCAGCUGUCUGUAACUCCAAGAUCCGACACCCUCACACAGACAUACAUGUAGGCAGAACACCAAUACAUGUGAGUGUAGAACGGGACCUUAUUAGACCUUAUUAGUCAACUAUCAGAUACUGGUCUUCCUGCUGUUGGUUGUAAGUUACAAAUCAUUCUUGAGAGCAUGUUAAGGCCAUGUCCCCCUUUUUCCAGCAUUAGGAAGUUUCUUACAUGUUCUGGGUGCCCCUGGUAAUCUACUCAUCUUAUAUAUGCCACAUCUCCAGAGACUAAGCAAGAUUACAUCUCCAGCAAACUAUCCAGACCUGAGUGUGUUUCCAUGGAAACAUCAGAUGAGGUAACAGAAAAGCCACUUAGGACAGUCACACUGGGUAUGUCUUGUCUCUGUCAUUCCAACUAUUUCAUUACCAAAUUUCUGUGAUUUUGAUGAAAAUGCGCACUUCCAAAUGUGUAUUUAUUAGGACUUGGUGGCAAAUACCAUUGUCGGUGUUUGAAAUUUUAGUCAUUCAUGUUGCUCUAGAAAGGGCACAUUUUAUUGUAAGGCUAAUUCCUCGCUGCAGUAGAACCUAGGAUGUGUGCAAACAGAUUAAUGCCCUUGGCCAUGCUUUCCAUAUUGGGAAAACAUACAUACUUAAAAAAAGAAUGAGGCCUGAUUUUCUUUCUGAAGCUUCACAUGAGUUUAAUUUCAUAAUGCACUUCGAAGACACAAGGUAGAUUUUCCAAUCCCUCCCACGGGAGUAGAUUUCAGCUAUGAGAAGGGAAUGAGGCUAUGGCAUUCACAUGAUAGACCAUGAAGUGUCUGUCCUUCCUUGGGGACUUAGUAUUCUAGUCAUCCCUGCCUUUCUCUUGGGAUUUGCGUGUCCUCAGUGUUUAAGUCAGAGACUUAAUGUCUUUAGUUAGAUUUAUUCUGUGGGUGUUUCUCUGUGUGUGUGCUUAUGUAUGUGUGUCUGUCUGCGUGCCACUGGACAGGUAUGAAAGUCAGUCAGAGGCCAACUUAGGGGAGUCAAUUUUUUGUUUCCAUCCUGUGAAUUCCAGGGAUUGAACUCAGAUCUUCAGGCUUGGCAGCAAACUCUUAACUGCUGAGCCAUUUGCCCAGCCCUGUAUUAGAUAUUUUUAAAUAUUUCCAUAGCAUAUUUUAAACCACAAACUAUGAUGCUGGGUAUACUUUAAAUUAUUGCACUGUGAUGCAGUGAUAACCUUGGGACACCUCAAGAGCAUUAGGAUCUGGUGUCCUUCAGAUGACUGUAUCAGUAAAAGGGUUGGUCACCAGCCUGUGACACUCACUAUUGAGAGGUAGUGAAUGAAGUCUGGAAGAGGUGGGGCCAAAUAGGAGGAAGUUUGUCAUGUAGAGGCAUUUUUCCUGUUAAUAGAUUUUUCUGCCGAUAGAAAAUCCUAGCUAGAGGCUGGAGGCGGCCUGAGUGAACAGGCAGGUCCCUGGAGUUGACUGUCCAGACACUUGAGUUCCAG
rnacentral:lncRNA from 1 species